GUAAAGAUUGCAACGCCAUAUGGGCAGAAAACAGCACCUACCGCAGCCCAGGCUGGCACGUCGAGAUGUCGACACCUACCCAUCACAGCUCCGUCGAAGCCACCUCUACCUCGUUGCCCAGGCACCCGUCUAUUCCAAGCAGCCCACAACAGGAAUAGGGGUGAUAAAAUGGCCGCCCUUGCGACUGAUAGCUCAACCUACAAAGCAGGCCAGCAACGGACCAAACGUGAAGAUCCUAAUAUCCAACAGGAGAAAAAAUGGCGCUCUUGUGAACAAUCGUAAAUCCUAUGAGGCUACUGUGCUUAGCUUGUGCUUAGCUUGUAACAUGGACUAGUACAAUGCCUGUGCGUUGCUACGGCUAGUUGUGUUAUUUUCUUUCAUUUUUCAUUGCAGUCAAUGUUUAUAACUUUUUAACUAGUUGUGUUAUUUUCUUUAACUUUUCAUUGCAGUCAAUGUUUAUAACUUUUUAACGUAAACUUAGCAAUUA